rnacentral:rRNA from 1 species
GACAGAGGCCUCGAGCGUUAGGCGGAAUCACUGGGCUUAAAGCGUGUGUAGGCGGACCUCUAAGUACCUUGUGAAAUCCCACGGCUCACCCGUGGGAACCGCUGGGUAUACUGGGGGUCUUGGGCCAUUCAGGGGCAACUGGAACAAGCGGUGGAGCGGUGAAAUGCGUAGAUAUCGCUUGGAACGCCGACGGUGAAAACAGGUUGCUGGGAAUGACGC